CAUGUAGGCGGACUGUUAAGUCUGAUGUGAAAGCCCGGGGCUCAACCCCGGAAGUGCAUUGGAUACUGAUAGUCUUGAGUAUGGGAGAGGAAAGUGGAAUUCCGAGUGUAGGAGUGAAAUCCGUAGAUAUUCGGAGGAACACCAGUGGCGAAGGCGGCUUUCUGGACCAAUACUGACGCUGAGAUGCGAAAGCGUGGGGAGCGAACA
rnacentral:rRNA from 1 species